rnacentral:rRNA from 1 species
GACGAACGCUGGCGGCGUGCUUAACACAUGCAAGUCGAACGGUGAAGCCUAGCUUGCUAGGUGGAUUAGUGGCGAACGGGUGAGUAAUACGUGAGUAACCUACCUUUAACUCUGGGAUAAGCCUGGGAAACUGGGUCUAAUACCGGAUACGACCAAUCUCCGCAUGGGGUGUUGGUGGAAAGCGUUAUGUAGUGGUUAUAGAUGGGCUCACGGCCUAUCAGCUUGUUGGUGAGGUAACGGCUCACCAAGGCGACGACGGGUAGCCGGCCUGAGAGGGUGACCGGCCACACUGGGACUGAGACACGGCCCAGACUCCUACGGGAGGCAGCAGUGGGGAAUAUUGCACAAUGGGCGCAAGCCUGAUGCAGCGACGCCGCGUGAGGGAUGACGGCCUUCGGGUUGUAAGCCUCUGUUAGCAGGGAAGAAGAGAGAUUGACGGUACCUGCAGAGAAAGCGCCGGCUAACUACGUG